UCCCUUCCCAUGCGGUCUCCCUAAAUUCUGUCCAGAUCUCCAACAUCAAACCAUCUACUACAUCCCACUGCUGGGCAAAAGCAAAAGGAGCAAUAAUAAUUGCUCCCCCAAGUAUUCUUUAGCCUGGUGGGGACAGGGCCAAAAUAAGCCCGCAUAGCGGAAGUAAAACAAAACAAAACAAAACAACCACCUUGGCCCAUCCCUCACGGCUUCCCCCCAGAAUUGACCAGCGACGAGCGUUUAGGCCGCUCUCGCACCAUUACUUUGGGGUGCUGAAUGGUUUGCUGGGCCCGAGACUCGGGGCGCGCGCGGCAGCGGGUUGGGGGGGUGGUUCGGCAUCCACCUGGGCCCGGCCCCGCCUAAGCGCUGUCCCCAACUGGGCCCCGCCCGGCUCUGCAGCAGGUCCGCGUCUACGGAGCCCCACCCUCCCCGGGAUUCCGCCAGGAUCCCCCCGGGUUCUGCUUCUUGCAAGCCUCUGCGACACCGAGGCUGGACCCAGACCUCUGGGCCGCCUCGGCGCCAACCCACGUAGGAGCUCCAUCCUCCGGCUUCUCGGGUCGCCUCCCAUCCCAGACACCUGGGCCCGCCAGGCCUCAGUUCUGCGCGGGCACACGGGCGAGGCCGCGUGAGUAAGCCGCACAGCCCCGCGCGCUCCCCGCAGGUGCUCGGUCCCGCCGCGGGACUAAGAACGAGCCCGCGCGCGCCAUCAAGAACUGGGGUGGGGAGGGGGAGGGCGUCUGACCAGCAGGAAUCGCGAAGGUUCCAGGACCAGCCAGAUACCCGGAUGUGAGCUGGGCGGGACACGGCCCGCCUUCCAAUCUCCGGCAGUGGCGAAAGCCAAUCACGGGCCGGUCUGUCCCGCUCCUCCAAUGGUCGGCCUGUUGCUAGCCCCGCUCCCCGAGCUGCCCCCGCAGCUGCCCAGGUCCGAUUCGCUCCCGACCCGGCGCCCCUCCCACUCGGUCCUCCCUCUUCCGCCCUCCCCCAGCCCGCCUCCACUCUCCUCGUGCGCGGUCGUCACCCAGAGAGCAGCCGGGCCUGGGCUGUGCGGGGCGUUCUGAGCCCGUGUAGGCGAUUGGCCACGUCUCCGGGCCCUGUCCAUUGCCGCGGUCGGUGGAGGGAGCGCGUUGGAGGGGACAGGGCCUCAGGCGUCAGCUUUCCCCCUGACCCCGUGCCUGCCCCUCAGUUUGUGAACGGCCGGCACGACCGCAGAUGCCCUGUGCGGGUUUGCGGUGCUCUUACCUCCGCAGCCGUCAUCCGGCGCCGGCCCCAGCGGGCACGUUUCCCGCAGAUUGCGGAGGAGGAAGCCGGGCUCGGCACAGCCUGCUCGACCCGCACAGCUGAAGAGGGCUCAUGGCUGGUGGCGACUUGGGUCUGGCACAUGCUGGCCCCGUGGCCCCGUAACCUGGCGUCCGGAUGCAACGAAGCCCCCCCCCCCCCCCCGCCUGUCUUUGGCGGUCAAGGCUUCUCCAGCCUCACCUGCCGCCCGCCUCACGUCACAGCCUCGUCCUCCUUCGGCCAGUGCUUGUUCCACCCCUGAAAAAGCCCUUUCUUCCCCGACGCCUUUGAAGAGAGACUCCCGACUUGGAACUGCGUGGUGGCCGCCCAGGGCCAGCCCCAGAAUCGGACGUUGGAAAGGUUCAGGAGGGCACGCACCCCAGUCUCCGCCCCAAACAUCUCCCCAGGCAAAGAGCUAAUUCAGCCUGAGGGCCCGGGAGGGGAGACGGCUGGGUCCUGGCUACGGUUCUCGAAGGAACUGAAUCCCUUCCCGCCCACCUACCCUGUGCCCAGCUGUGUCCCAAGUGAUGGCCUGAACCCUCAAGACCUCAAAGCUGCUGCCCUUGGACUCACUCCUGUGGACUAGCCGUGUGGACCCGGGCAAGUCCAUUCACUUCUUUGAGGCUCGAGGCGCCCAGGUGGAAGGCAGGACCAGCCACACCUCUUGACGCGAGGAUUACCUUGUCAAAGCUUGGCACCAGCUUUCCCACACUUCCAGUUCGCUGGCAGCCUUGCUCCCACUCUGACAAGACGUGAGGAGGCAGCCACACCCCUGGAGGCCAGGGCCAUCCUGCUGCCAGCCAGAAGGGAGCUGGCGAGCAGAGUGAGGGCGAGCCCUGGACGGGCUGAUUCAGUUGGGACCACAGGAAUGUGGACACGUCCAGGAGACACCUGAGAUGCGGCAUGUGUGUUGUCAGGGAGGAGGACGGCAGAUUGAGGAGAUAGGAGCUCAAGAAAUGAAUAGUGGUAGGGCUGGGUAGAUGGGGCAGUGCCCUGGCCAACAGGCCCAGACCUGUGCUGCCAGCCGGGCCAGCACAAUCCUCGUUCCAUGUGUUUAUUUAUUUCCCUUGUUGGCUGCCCUCCAGGUCCAGCGAGACCUUCGAAGCCAGGGACCUGCUUUGGCCUCCUGCCUGCUCCAGAUUGUGGUACCCCAACGGGGAGCCCCGCACCAAGCAGUGGCAAUUAAGGAGCCGAGCAGUGUUGAGGGUAACGCACUCGUGUGUAUGUGUGCACGUGGCUGCUCUCACAGACCCCGGGCAAGUCGGGCUGUGGGCUUAGAAUGUCACGGUGUCUUGCCGCAGCUUCAGGCUCCGUGACCUUGUAGGUGGAGAUGGUGUGGGAUCUCUCAAGUUCUCAGAGACUUCACCCUGGGCUCCCAAACCCCCAUCUGCUCUGUUCCUCUCCCAGAUCCCUCCGAACCCUUCUUGGGCCAGGUGAGAUGAGAGGGUGGUGGGUAGGACGAGGGCCAGGGAGAGGACCCAGGCAGGUGUGACUCUUCCUACCUGGGCUUGUCAAGGCAGGCCCUUCCUGGAGUGCACGUCUUCCCUGUCAGGGUCUUUGCCUCUUUUCCAUCAAAGCCUGGGCCGCACUGCCCUCACCCUCUGCGGAGCGCCCUUGACCCGAGAGCCCAGGCCUGCUUCCUGCAUGCGUGGACACUGGGGGAUGGAAACUUCGACAAGGUCAACCUCCUCUCAGAAAGUCACCUGGAGUGCUAUACCUCCCAUACCUUCUACAGGGUCCUGCCCCUCCCGGGGAGAAUAGUGAAGUCUCACUGAAGUCAG